AUGGUGGUCCGGCCCGUAGACGAACCCCGUAGAAAUUAUAAAUUGAUAACAAUCCUGCAGAUGUACCGAAGCUCCUCCCCACAGACGACAAACCCAAACCCGGCGACCACCAUGGCAUCAGCACCGCCACCGCAGCGCCGCCGCGCCUCGCCGCCGGCGAUCCCGGACGAGCUCGUCGAAGAGAUCCUCCUCCGCCUCCCGCCCGACGACCCGGCCUGCCUCCUCCGCGCCUCCCUCGUCUGCAAGGCCUGGGGCGGCAUCGUCUCCCACCCCGUCUUCCGCCGCCGCCUCCACGAGCUCUACCUCGCACCCCCCGUGCUCGGCUUCCUCCACGGGUGGGAAGACGAGGAGGUCCCACACUUCGUCCACACCACCGCGUCGCCCUUCUCCCUCGCCGCCCCGGACUGGCGCUCGUGGCGGGCGGUGGACUGCCGCCACGGCCGCGCCCUCUUCCUCUCCAAGCGCAAUCAUACUUGUACCUGGGAGCUGCUCCUUUGGGAGCCAAUCACGGGCGCCCAGCAGCGCAUACCGGUGCCCGCGGCGUUCAACGGCAGAUGGCCGACCGCGGCCGUGUUCUGCGCAGUGGACGGGUGCGACCACCACGACUGCCUUGGGGGUCCAUUCCGCGUGGUCUUCGUCUUCGUCGUCGACAACGAAGACGUUGACUACGACGACAAUGUCAUAUCGGCCGGCGUAUACUCGUCGGAGACCGGCACGUGGGGAGAGCUGACCUCGAUGUACAGCGAAUUCAUGAUGUUCUUUGAAAAGUAUUCCAGCCUGCUCGUUGGGAGGUCUCUGCUUUACUUCAUGUCCGAUGCUGGGUUGAUCCUGGAGUACGAUUUAGUGAGGCAUGGCCUGACCGUCUUCGACACACCUGACUGCCAGCCCGGCUACAAGUCCGACUGUGGGUCGUCGUCCUCGGACGACAACAGAUUUAAACUCAUGCUUGCGGAGGAUGGUGGGCUGGGAGUUAGUGAAGAAUCGGGUCUGCGCCUCAAACUGUGGACAAGGAAGGCGACCACUGAUGCACCAUGGGUAGUGAACUGCAUCUUCUGCUUGGAGAAUUUGCUUCCAGCUAGCGAUCUCUUGGUCCCGGGUAUAAAUUAUAGAGUGACCGUGCUGGGCUUUACUGAGGAAGCACAAGUCAUUUUCGUUGACACGAUUGAUAGCCUCUUCACAAUCGAUCUGCAAUUAGGGUUGGUGACGGAGGUCCCGGAUGAUCGUGGCUUCAGCAAUCUGAUUCCAGUUGUCGGCUUCUACACUCCCGUGCCCCGACGCAAGAACCAGAAUCUGCUGGCGUUGAAACCGUGUGAGGCGGCAAGUGGUGAGGGGGGAGAAAACAGUAGUUCAGACACAUCGGCUGUUUGA
rnacentral:rRNA from 1 species